rnacentral:rRNA from 1 species
AGAAUUUUAAUGGUCGAACAGACCAACCCUUAAAGACUUCUGCACCUUUAGGAUAUUCUGGUCCAACAUCGAGGUCACAAACCUUUUUUUCGAUUAGAGCUCUCAAAAAAGAUAAUGCUGUUAUCCCUACGGUAACUAAUUUCAUCAAUCAUAAUUUCCGGAUCAAAACAAGUUUGUCUUAGUCAUUUAAAGAAGUUUUUUUUGUUCCUUGGUCGCCCCAACCAAAAUUUUUAAUAAUUUUUUUUUACAAGUAUAAUUGAAUUUUAUUAAUUUUUUUAAAGCUCGAUAGGGUCUUCUUGUCUUUUAAUUUAAUGCAGACCUUUUCAUCUGCAUGUAAAAUUCUAUUUAAUCAGAAAGAGACAGUUUUGCUCUUGUGAGACCAUUCAUUCCAGUCCUCAAUUAUAGGACAAAUUAUUAUGCUACCUUAGCACAGUUAAGAUACUGCGGCCGUUGAAAAAAAUCACUGGGCAGGCCGGACUCUUUAUGUUAAUAUGUCAAAGAGCC